rnacentral:rRNA from 1 species
AUUGAACGCUGGCGGCAGGCUUAACACAUGCAAGUCGAGCGGGGUGAUGGUGCUUGCACUAUCACUUAGCGGCGGACGGGUGAGUAAUGCUUAGGGAUCUGCCUAUUAGUGGGGGACAACAUCUCGAAAGGGAUGCUAAUACCGCAUACGUCCUACGGGAGAAAGCAGGGGAUCACUUGUGACCUUGCGCUAAUAGAUGAGCCUAAGUCGGAUUAGCUAGUUGGUGGGGUAAAGGCCUACCAAGGCGACGAUCUGUAGCGGGUCUGAGAGGAUGAGCCGCCACACGGGGACGGAGACACGGCCCAGACUCCAACGGGAGGCAGCAGUGGGGAAUAUUGGACAAUGGGGGGAACCCUGAGCCAGCCAUGCCGCGUGUGUGAAGAAGGCCUUAUGGUUGUAAAGCACUUUAAGCGAGGAGGAGGCUCUUUUGGUUAAUACCCAAGAUGAGUGGACGUUACUCGCAGAAUAAGCACCGGCUAACUCUGUGCCAGCCGCCGCAGUAA